rnacentral:rRNA from 1 species
UACGAAGGGGGCUAGCGUUGCUCGGAAUUACUGGGCGUAAAGCGCACGUAGGCGGCUUUAUAAGUCGGGGGUGAAAUCCUGGAGCUCAACUCCAGAACUGCCUUCGAUACUGGAAAGCUCGAGUCCGGGAGAGGUGAGUGGAACUGCGAGUGUAGAGGUGAAAUUCGUAGAUAUUCGCAAGAACACCAGUGGCGAAGGCGGCUCACUGGCCCGGUACUGACGCUGAGGUGCGAAAGCGUGGGGAGCAAACAGG